GAGAGGGCAGAGAACCUCCCCCAGCACUCGGCGUGCGUCCGUAGUGAAGGAGUGUCACCUGAGCCCCCGCUGUUGCUCAAUCGACUUCCCAAGAACAGAGAGAAAAGGGAACUUCCAGGGCGGCCCAGGCCUCCGGGGGUUCCCACCCCAUUUUUAGCUGAAAGCACUGAGGCAGAGCUCCCCCUACCCAGGCUCCAUUGCCUGGCAUAAAAAUAACCACCAUGGUUACUGAUCAUCUGGGAGCUAUCCAGGAACGCGACAGGGAGCCGGAUGGGCCACACCAGCCAUAGGCACCACAUGGAGAACCCGGCACUUCAGCCUCCAUACAGAGCCCCUUCGUCUUCCCCUUGAUCCCCUGCUGCAAACACAUUCUCUCCAAUGCCACCUCCGUGACCCUGGGCUGCCUGGCCACGGGCUACUUCCCGGAGCCGGUGAUGGUGACCUGGGACGCAGGUUCCCUCAACAGGAGCACUAUGACCUUACCAGCCACCACCUUCACGCCCUCCGGUCACUAUGCCACCAUCAGCUUGCUGACCGUCUCGGGUGCGUCGGCCAAGCAGAUGUUCACCUGCCGUGUGGUGCACACUCCAUCGUCCGCAGACAAAGAGGUCAACAAAACCUUUGGCGUCUGCUCCAGGGACUUCACCCCACCAACCGUGAAGAUCUUACAGUCAUCCUGUGAUGGCGGUGGGCACUUUCCCCCGACCGUCCAGCUCCUGUGCCUCAUCUCCGGGUACACCCCAGGGGCCAUCAACGUCACCUGGCUGGAGAACGGGCAGGUCAUGGAAGUGAACUCGCCCACCCCUCCUGCCACGCAGGAGGGUGAGCUGGCCUCCACACAAAGUGAGCUCACCCUCGCCCAGAAGCACUGGCUGUCGGACCGCACUUACACCUGCCAGGUCACCUAUCAAGGUGAAACCUUUGAGGACAGCACCAAGAAGUGUGCGGAUUCCAACCCGAGAGGGGUCAGUGCCUACCUAAGCCGGCCCAGCCCGUUCGACCUGUUCAUCAGCAAGUCGCCCACGAUCACCUGUCUGGUAGUGGACCUGGCACCCAGCAAGGGGACUGUGAAUCUGACCUGGUCCCGGGCCAGUGGGAAGCCCGUGCCCCAGGUCACCCCAAGGGAGCAGAAGCAGCACAAUGGCACGUUAACUGUCACGUCCGUCCUGCCGGUGGUCACCCAAGACUGGAUUGAGGGGGAGACCUACCAGUGCAGGGUGACCCACCCCCACCUCCCCAGGGCCCUCGUGCGGUCCACGACCAAGACCAGCGGCCCGCGUGCUGCCCCGGAAGUCUAUGUGUUUGCAACGCCAGAGAAGCUGGAGAGCCGGGACAAGCGCACCCUCGGCUGCCUGAUCCAGAACUUCAUGCCUGAGGACAUAUCGGUGCAGUGGCUGCACAACGAGGUGCAGCUCCCGGACGCCAGGCACAGCAUGACGCAGCCCCGCAAGACCAAGGGCUCCGGCUUCUUCGUCUUCAGCCGCCUGGAGGUGACCAAGACCGAAUGGGAGCAGAAAGACGAGUUCAUCUGCCGUGCAGUCCAUGAGGCAGUGAGCCCCUCAUGGAUCGUCCAGAAAGCGGUGUCUGUAAAUCCCGGGUUGGCUGGCGGCUCUGCGCAGUCGCAGAGGGCCCCGGAUAGGGUACUCUGCCACUCCGAACAGCAGCAAGGGCUGCCGAGAGCAGCAAGGGGCUCUGUCCCCGACCACCGCGGCCACUGUGGAGCCGGGAGGGCUGACUGGCCAGGUCUCCCAGAGCUGGACGUGUGCGUGGACGAGGCUGAGAGUGAGACACUGUGGACGUGGACUGGCCUCUGCAUCUUCGCCACACUCUUCCUGCUCAGUGUGAGCUACAGCGCUGCCAUCACACUCCUCACGGUGCAGCGGUUCCUCUCAGCCACGCGGCAGGGGAGGCCCCAGACCUCCCUCGACUACACCAACAUCCUCCAGCCCCACGCCUAGGCCGCGGGCCACUCGCGCUCCACCAGGCCUAGCUGCUUCUCUGCCGGCACCUGAGCCUCCCUCGGGCUGUGCCCUGCCCUGGGUGGGAAAAGGGAAGAAGACAAGAAAAGGGGGCGCAAGGUCGCUACUGUGGGCUGAUGGCCAGUGAAUCUGAGCCCAGAGGGGCCCGCUCAGCCGCAAGGUUAAAGGUGCCGACAGAACCACCAGUCGCAGCCCCCACCCCAAAGCAGUGUCCGUCCCUUCAACGGAGUCAUCGAGGAGGGGGUGGCUGCUGGCCGUUGUGAGCUCAUCCCAGGCCCCUGGGUCUCAGGGUCACUCCCA